CCUACGAGGUGCUGCAGUGGGGAAUAUUGGGCAAUGGAGGCAACUCUGACCCAGCAACGCCGCGUGAGUGAUGAAGGUCUUCGGAUUGUAAAACUCUUUAAGUGGGGAAGAAGAAAGUGACUGUACCCCCAGAAUAAGCCUCGACUAACUACGUGCCAGCAGCCGCGGUAAUACGUAGGAGGCAAGCGUUCUCCGGAAUGACUGGUCGUCAAGGGUGCGUAGGUGGUUCGGCAAGUUAGUAGCGUAAUUACGGGGCUGAACCUCGGAACUACUACUAAAACUGUUGGGCUUGAGGGCAGGAGGGGCAUAUGGAAGUCCUAGUGUAGCGGUGGAAUGCGUAGAUAUUAGGAAGAACACCAGUGGCGAAGGCGAUAUGCUGGACUGUAACUGACACUGAGGCACGAAAGCGUGGGGAGCAAACAGGAUGAGAUACCCGUGUAGUC
rnacentral:rRNA from 1 species